GGACCUGUUGGACCGCGGUCAGGGGCUGGAGGAGAGCCCUGGGCUCGUACGGGUGGGCGGAGGCUGUGAGAUGGCGGCCCAUCCUCCAGACGGCCCCUGUACUGGAAACAUUCCAGAAAGAAAGCGCUUCUCUGCCUUGAACUUAGUGGUGAGAUAAGAUAUUGCAAAUCAGGAAGUUGGUGUUUGAAUGAUGCUAUUACUAGUAUCAGAAAGAAAAUCCAGCAUAACCUCCUUAUGUAAUACAAGAUGGUACCACAAGCAAAUGAAUUGUCUAAGAGAAGGAGAGAAUAGUAGAAUGAUAGAAUCCAAACAAAAGUUACACUAAGGCAGAAUUCUUCAACGA